AUCUAACCUCCACAUUGUCUACAAGAGUCCUUGACCAAAAAUUGAGAUUGAGAUAUUUUUUGAGAACGGAAUUGAACGCGGAGUGCACACUAUCUACAAGAGUCAUUGUUGGCAUCACUUGAACUACCUGUGUUUUACUUUUUGAUUAUUUUUUAUAAUGAAACAAUGGUGGUCCUUAUGCCAUGAUGAACUUUUAUUCAAUCCAAAUUUGGAAACGGUACAUAGAAUUUUAAAGAAAUACAGGUGGAGAGUGGAUAUGGGGGCUUAAGGGGUGUUACCUAAUUCAAAAAAGACCUGCUGUAGCCAUGAUCCCACAAGAGGUAGAUCCAUGCACCUACCGAUAGCGUCUCUCACUAGCUCAUCAAGGUGGAAGAGAACUUUGUUAUUCAUACACUUCAAAAUGUAUGUGUAUAUAUCGUAUGAUUGGUGUGAUCUUGAGCUAACGAAUCAUAGAGUGCAUGCCAAUCUCCCAAUGUUUCCUAAUCCUACAUCCAACGUGAGCAAAAUGAAUGUGUGUGUAUCAUGUACUAGUAUAUUUGUGAGAAUGACUGAGCGUGAAAACUAAAAUGAAAGAAGCAAAUGGAUACACAUGC
rnacentral:lncRNA from 1 species